rnacentral:rRNA from 1 species
AGCUAAUAGAUACCCGGGUAGUCCACGCCGUAAACGUUGGGCGCUAGGUGUGGGGCUCAUUCCACGAGUUCCGUGCCGCAGCUAAACGCAUUAAGCGCCCCGCCUGGGGAGUACGGCCGCAAGGCUAAAACUCAAAGGAAUUGACGGGGGCCCGCACAAGCGGCGGAGCAUGUUGCUUAAUUCGAUGCAACGCGAAGAACCUUACCUAGGCUUGACAUGCACGGAAAUCCUCCAGAGAUGGUGGGUCCGUAAGGGCCGUGCACAGGUGGUGCAUGGUUGUCGUCAGCUCGUGUCGUGAGAUGUUGGGUUAAGUCCCGCAACGAGCGCAACCCUCGUUCUAUGUUGCCAGCACGUCAUGGUGGGGACUCAUAGGAGACUGCCGGGGUCAACUCGGAGGAAGGUGGGGAUGACGUCAAAUCAUCAUGCCCCUUAUGUCUAGGGCUGCAAACAUGCUACAAUGGCCGGUACAAAGGGCUGCGAUACCGCGAGGUGGAGCGAAUCCCAAAAAGCCGGUCUCAGUUCGGAUUGGGGU